rnacentral:lncRNA from 1 species
AUGGCUGAGGCCUUAGUGUGGCUGAAGACAGCAGGUUCUGGUGUUUGUGAGCGGAAGGGCACCAGCUCUGUCUCCUUGGCGUUCAUGAUGCUAAUCAUAGCAAUGACCAGGAAAUCCCCAGAACUUUGUAUUCUUCUCUCAGAGCAAAGGGGCAGGUCAAAGGGGUACCCACCUGAGCUUGUUAUUCUUUUUUAUUUGUUUUGUUUUGUUUCUGAACAGGAAAAAACCACUAAUCCUGGAAGCACUGAGAAUAUUGAGGAAGAGAUUGAGCAAGCGGUUCAGGAGACGGUAGACACAGAUCUCUAUGUGAGAAGAAGACAGCGCCCGACUGCUUCCAGGAGAUACCGUGAGGGUCACUGGUAAAGACAGUUCUCCAUGAGCACACUUGUUUUGGCUAUAGCUCUCCUCGUCUCAUUCUUUUUUUUCUUUUCUUGCUCUUGGGGAGUCUGUUUCUGCUAAGCACAGCUGUGUCCUUACUGGGGAGGGGUGAGGGGACAGAAGCUGCCAACAGGCUGGUUCUUGGCAGUUCCCCACGGGAGGUGUGUGGUGGCCCUGGGGUAGGGGAUGUUACAGUAGGAGGCAGUGCUAGCUGCAGGAAUGGGCUGUGGAAGGGUGACAUGGUGAAGCCAGAGGAUAUGGAGGAGCAUGAGGAGGUGCUGGGAUACUUCCCCCCUCCUAGUGCAGAGCAGGCGCUAUGGCCAUGGCUGAGGAGAAGCACUGAGGCGAAAGUAGCAUCAUUUUUUUUUUUUUUUCCCCUGCCAUGGGCCAGUGAAGAGAGUUUCUCAUGAGCAGCCCAAAUUGGCUGACAUUUCAGCA